GGUGAUAUUUCUUCCCUUAGCAGCAGUCACUUUGCUAGCAAGCUGAAGUUAGCAAGUGAGUCACAUAAAUGUACGUUCAGCCUGUUAAUCAUUUCAGUCCGGUUGGACUUAUUUUACUAAAUAAGCAUGGCUUAACAUAGUUUAUUUAGUUUUUGACCUCGAAAUUCUUGCUGGAUAGUUUGAUAGCUUACAUGCUAACGUUAGCGCUGUUAGCUAGCUAGCUAACCUCCUAUGUGGAUGCCUCCAUCUAGUAGUUCCCAAGAACAGCAGACCGGUACCCCAUUCCCACAUCUGAUGCCCCCUGUCCCCAGCAGGAAAGAGCAGGAAAAAGUGUUUGCUUAAGGUGGGAGAGGGCAGUGUGGAGUGCGAUUGAGAUUGCGUCAUC